ACGAUGAUGACGGUAGCGUGAGAAGAAGCCCCGGCUAACUCCGUGCCAGCAGCCGCGGUAAUACGGAGGGGGCUAGCGUUGUUCGGAAUUACUGGGCGUAAAGCGCACGUAGGCGGCGAUUUAAGUCAGAGGUGAAAGCCCGGGGCUCAACCCCGGAACUGCCUUUGAGACUGGAUUGCUUGAACAUCGGAGAGGUGAGUGGAAUUCCGAGUGUAGAGGUGAAAUUCGUAGAUAUUCGGAAGAACACCAGUGGCGAAGGCGGCUCACUGGACGAUUGUUGACGCUGAGGUGCGAAAGCGUGGGGAGCAAACAGGAU
rnacentral:rRNA from 1 species